rnacentral:rRNA from 1 species
CCCUUAGAUGUUCUGGGCCGCACGCGUGCUACACUGAGUAAUUCAAUGGGUAAGGGAACGCUAGAGCAUUACCUAAUCUUGAAAUUUGCUCGUGAUGGGGAUCGACGGUUGCAAUUUUCCGUCGUGAACGAGGAAUACCUUGUAGGCGCAUGUCAUCAUCAUGCGCCGAAUACGUCCCUGCCCUUUGUACACACCGCCCGUCGCUCCUACCGAUUGAGUGAUCCGGUGAGGCUCUGGGACCUGGACGGAAAGAGCGUUUCGCUUGUUCUGUUUGGGAAACUUGGUCGAACCUUAUCAUUGAGAGGAAGGAGAAGUCGGAACA